rnacentral:rRNA from 1 species
UACGGAGGGUGCAAGCGUUAUCCGGAUUCACUGGGUUUAAAGGGUGCGUAGGUGGGUUGGUAAGUCAGUGGUGAAAUCUCCGGGCUCAACCUGGGAAUGGCAAUGGAUACUGGCAGGCUAGAGUGCGGUAGAGGGUAGUGGAAUUCCCGGUGUAGCGGUGAAAUGCGCAGAUAUCAGGAGGAACACCGGUGGCGAAGGCGGGUCUCUGGGCCGAUGACUGACGCUGAGGAGCGAAAGCGUGGGGAGCGAACAGG